UACAGAGGUGGCAAGCGUUGUUCGGAAUCACUGGGCGUAAAGCGCACGUAGGCGGAUGUGUCAGUCAGGGGUGAAAUCCCGGAGCUCAACUUCGGAACUGCCCUUGAUACAGCACGUCUUGAGUCCGGAAGAGGUGGGUGGAAUUCCUAGUGUAGAGGUGAAAUUCGUAGAUAUUAGGAAGAACACCGGUGGCGAAGGCGGCCCACUGGUCCGGUACUGACGCUGAGGUGCGAAAGCGUGGGGAGCAAACAGG
rnacentral:rRNA from 1 species